rnacentral:lncRNA from 1 species
AACAAAUAAAAUCCCCAAAAUCGUUGCAUCCCUGUUCGUUCUUUCUAUCAGAUUGAAAAUCCCCAAAAUCCAUCUUCUCAAUUGCAACCAUAGCUCCCGAUUUUGCUUCUCAAUUUCCAUCCCAAAGCCCAUCUCUUCUCAAAUGCAACCAUGAAUUCCCGAUUGUGCUUCUCAAUCAACUGUGCGUCUUGUGGAUCUUAGUUUAGGGCUAAAGGAAAACUCGGGCGACU